rnacentral:rRNA from 1 species
GACGAACGCUGGCGGCGUGCUUAACACAUGCAAGUCGAACGGAAAGGCCUGCUUUCCCUUGUGGAUUGCGGGUACUCGAGUGGCGAACGGGUGAGUAACACGUGAGUGAUCUGCCCCCAACUUGGGUAUAAGCCUGGGAAACUGGGUCUAAUUCCCGAUAGGACUGCAGGGUGGUGCCUGUGGUGGAAAACGAUUUUCUAGUGGUUGGGGAUGAGCUCGCGGCCUAUCAGCUUGUUGGUGGGGUACUGGCCUACCAAGGCGGCGACGGGUAGCCGGCCUGAGAGCGUGGACGGCCACAUUGGGACUGGGAUACGGCCCAGACGCCGACGGGAGGCAGCAGUGGGGAAUAUUGCACAAGGGGCGGAAGCCUGAUGCAGCGACGCCGCGUGGGGGAUGACGGCCUUCGGGUUGUAAACUCCUUUCGACCGCGAGGAAGCCACCUGGUUGGAAGGGUGGUGACGGUAGUGGUAGAAGAAGCACCGGCUAACUACGUG